rnacentral:rRNA from 1 species
UACGAAGGGGGCUAGCGUUGCUCGGAAUCACUGGGCGUAAAGGGUGCGUAGGCGGGUCUUUAAGUCAGGGGUGAAAUCCUGGAGCUCAACUCCAGAACUGCCUUUGAUACUGAAGAUCUUGAGUUCGGGAGAGGUGAGUGGAACUGCGAGUGUAGAGGUGAAAUUCGUAGAUAUUGGGAAGAACACCGGUGGCGAAGGCGGCUAUCUGGACUGUGAUUGACGCUGAGGCGCGAAAGCGUGGGGAGCAAACAGG